rnacentral:tRNA from 2 species
GUCCCCUUCGUCUAGUGGCCUAGGACACCGCCCUUUCACGGCGGUAACAGGGGUUCGAAACCCCUAGGGGACGCCA